CCCUUAGAUGUUCUGGGCCGCACGCGCGCUACACUGAUGCAUUCAACGAGUUUCUUCCUGGUCCGAGAGGAAUGGGUAGCCUUUUGAAAGUGCAUCGUGAUAGGGAUAGACUAUUGCAAUUAUUGGUCUUCAACGAGGAAUUCCUAGUAGACGUAGUUCAUCAGACUGCAUCGAUUACGUCCCUGCCCUUUGUACACACCGCCCGUCGCUCCUACCGAUUGAAUGCUCAGGUGAGCCAUUCGGACUUUCAUCAUGCUGGUUUCCAGUUUUGAUGAAGGAAAGUCUUGCGAACCUUAUCAUUUAGAGGAAGGAGAAGUCGUAACA
rnacentral:rRNA from 1 species